GUGAGGAAGGGUAUGUAGUUAAUAGCUGGACAUCAUGACGUUAGCGACAGAAUAAGCACCGGCUAACUCCGUGCCAGCAGCCGCGGUAAUACGGAGGGUGCGAGCGUUAAUCGGAAUUACUGGGCGUAAAGCGCAUGCAGGUGGUUCAGUAAGUCAGAUGUGAAAUCCCGGGGCUCAACCUCGGAACUGCAUUUGAAACUGGAGAACUAGAGUGCUGUAGAGGGGGGUAGAAUUUCAGGUGUAGCGGUGAAAUGCGUAGAUAUCUGGAGGAACACCGAUGGCGAAGGCAGCCCCCUGGACAGAUACUGACGCUCAGAUGCGAAA
rnacentral:rRNA from 1 species